AGCCUAUAUGCGUUAGCACCAGGCACGAAUUUGAACUCAUGGAAGCCAGUUAUGGGCCUAAGUCAUCAGGCGUGGAGGCAGUGGUUUCACAAAUGUCUUGCCCUUGCUGACCUCUCACCCCAUAUUCCUCUGACCCUUCGUGAGCAUCUUUGCUGGUCCAGGUGGCAUACAUGGUGGAGUAACCUAGACCCUUAUCCCUGAGGGGUCUGAGUCCCUGAUUAUAAUGUCCUUCUUAGGCCAUGCCUGCUGCAUUUGCCCAUUUAUCAGCAAAAUUGGGCAAGGGAGAACCAAGUGACGUCUAAGAGGAUCACCGGCAUGCCGUCCAUGAUCUUUUUUGCCAUCAUUGCAUAACAGCAGACUCAUCUUCUCCUAAAGAUCAGGGUCUUUUCCUGCUGGUUUCUCAGCAUGAAAAAAUUCAAGAAGAUGGGCGGAAAUAUUCACCCUCUGGGAGAGCCAGAACCUCUAAAUCUGCAGAGUCCAGAACUGUGGAGCAGGAAGCACAAGUUUCCAAAGUGGACCACUUGGGAUAGUGAUGCCACCGUGCUCUCAUCAGCCUCUGGCCCACCGUCUCCUUGAGGUGCUUUACGGUAGGAGCUUGUUGUCCAUCUAUUCUAUAGAUAGCUCAUUUCUUUCCUAGCCCUGAAUAAUAUUCUA